UUCUAUGCUGGCUCCGCAAGUGGCUGUGAAAUUAUUCUUCGGUAAGUUUGCUUGUUACAUAGUUGAUGAUGCCGCAUUUUCGCUUCUCUAUUCUACGGAGGAUAUGGAAUUUUUUGUAGAGAAAUCAACCAAAUAUCACCCAAAAUUGAUUCUACCACUGGAUCCCCUCUCUACUGAUCAUGGGCAAUUAUAUAUCAGCACAGGGCAUUGGAUAUCAACGAAAGAGAGUUGAAGAUCUAUGGGGAGCCAAUGAGUGCAACCGAACAGACCAUAUACAGGUCCAUUUCGCCCUUUCUAAAUUUCAAUCGUACAAAACACCAUAUUAACAUGUAACACCUUGUCUGGAAUAACAUUAAUGAAACAUGCAUGUGAUGUUUCAACAAUAUUAAUGGAAACUCAUUGCCCUUACCACUAAAAACAUACUCACUAUAUCAAUUAAUAAUUUUAUGAAUUUAUCCUUAUUAUACCAGUUAUUAGAGAGAUUAGUAGUACUUAUAAAUGAUUUGAAAGAAAAAAAGAGAUUGAAUAACCCUCUGAUUGUGGAUAGAAAGUAGCCGAAGAGAAGAGAGUAAAGAGGAGAGGGUAGAUAGUUAGCAUACCAUUAUCAAGGCAUGAAAAACAUCAGUUGUUUUUUUCAGACAAGACAAUGUGAUUGUUUUCUUGGAAUACUGGAUUGAAAAUAAAAGAUUCAAGUUUAAACGAUCUUUUUCACACAACACAAUGUGAUUGUUUUAUUAGAUUGAAAAUGAAAGAUUCAAGUUUAAACGAUCGUUUUCACACAAGACAAUGUGAUUGUUUUAUUAGAUUGAAAAUGAAAGAUUCAAGUUUAAACGAUCGUUUUCACACAAGACAAUGUGAUUGUUUUUAUUGGAUUGAAAAUGAAAGGUGCAGGAAUAAGCUAUCCAGGUCCAGCACACUUGCAACUCUAUCUCUAUUAGUGGGGCUGUCUCUAUGCACAAAGAGAGAGUUCACUUGGUCAGUUUACAAAUCUUGCUUAUGAAUUUGAUAUGGUGAAUCUAGUUUGUUUGUGACUUCUUUGUCCUAAUUUUGGGUAUAUUAGAGUUUUCUCAUAAUUUUCUGAAAUAGACUACAAGAUUAAUCACCAAUAUUUUUGAGACGGCAGAAAAGAUCAGGUUUAUUCCAUAAAAUUUUCUUUCUUGGUCCUA